UAAAAUUGCCUUCAGGCAGAAUUCAGACAAGUCGUUUAAAGUAAAUGAAAGAGAACGUUCGUGCUCACUACAGAUUGAAAAUAGGGAACCAGGGCAAUCCGGUUUUAAUGUUCUGUCUGGCACGGUGCUCUAUUGGAAGACGGAGACAGGCAGCAGGGGCUAGGGCCUGGUGGGCAACAGACCACUGGAAAUCCAGCAUUUCUGGGGUGGCCCCGGCAACACCCCCGUUCCCCGGGGAGUAGAAAGAGCCGUGAGGGGGGCCUUCACUGAGUACGUGAGGAUGGUCCCACGGGACGGGCCACCUGUGUUUGGGCUCCUCCAGUCUGUGAUGCAGCAUACUCAACUUCAAGGAUGUCAGGGGGAGGGGGUAAUGGGAACUGGUUGCAGUCCCAUUGUGACUAGAAAAGUUCAUGAGAGAGGAAGGCGCGCCAACAGCUUCUGGUUCACCAUGAAUCAAUCAGGACCCACCCACCGAGCUUCCUGUGCUUAGGUAAUCAGGAGCGUUGCCUUUUAAGGAUGCAUGUAUUCCAGCGACAGCUGGGGGCGAGGGGGCACCUGGAAAGCACACAACCACACAAGAACGUGGGAAAGCUGUUGUCCAAAUACCCCGGAGCCUUUCCUUCAAGCUGUGAGUUCCCUUGGAAACUCUGAACAGUGACCCAACUUAGGAACUACUGUGUUUUUAAGGGAAUUCUAGCAGUUCUAUUUGCCAAGACCGGGCAUUUACCCUCCUGCGUUCUGGGGAAUCCAUGGCGAGCCUUCCCACAUAGAACUUACAAGUGAAAAGAUUCAUUAAUUCUUGGCUGUGUGAUGGUUUCCUAAACUCUUUAAACUUUGCUUUUCUCAUCUCCAAAAUGGGAAUAAUGGAAAUCCUUUCGGGAUUGUUGAAAGACUAGAGAAAAGGAAGGAAGUUCUGCAAAUCUUUGAGUAAAACACUUUCCUGUCAGAAGCCGUGAACAUGCUGACCAAUGGCAGAAUGGAAUUGACCAACACAUCCAGGGAGCUGAAUUCACAGUGUUUUUGACAGAAGACAAAGAACCCAGAAGUCCUGAAGUCCUGAGUGUUACUGCGGUUUCCACAUGUAGCUGUAAAUCCCGAGACUGGUCCAAUUGUUCCAAAUCGGGUGGGCCGUGCUUAGGUUCCCAUCAAAUGGGUAUGUCAUCAUAGUCCUUGGACUCACUGCAUUAUUUAACGUACUGCGUUCUUCCUGAUGGAAUGAAUUCUGUGCAUGGAAAGCCUCACCGAUGCUCGAAGCUGCUGUAACUUGGCAUAUGUUCUGUCCAAUUAAAAUUCCUAUGCUUACAU